ACGAACGCUGGCGGCGUGCUUAACACAUGCAAGUCGAACGGAAAGGCCCCUUCGGGGGUACUCGAGUGGCGAACAGGUGAGUAACACGUGAGUAACCUGCCCUUGACUUCGGGAUAACUUCAGGAAACUGGGGCUAAUACCGGAUAGGAAUCCUUGCUGCAUGGUGGGGGUUGGAAAGCUUCGGCGGUUUUGGAUGGACUCGCGGCUUAUCAGCUUGUUGGUGGGGUAGUGGCUUACCAAGGCUUUGACGGGUAGCCGGCCUGAGAGGGCGACCGGCCACAUUGGGACUGAGAUACGGCCCAGACUCCUACGGGAGGCGGCAGUGGGGAAUAUUGCACAAUGGGCGGAAGCCUGAUGCAGCAACGCCGCGUGCGGGAUGACGGCCUUCGGGUUGUAAACCGCUUUCAGCAGGGGCGAAGCUUGUGGUGACGGUACCUGCAGAAGAAGCACCGGCUAACUACGUG
rnacentral:rRNA from 1 species